AUUGGUAAAACUUGCCGGAGUUGGCGGGAGGUGUUGAGAAUCCGGGAGGGCCUGAAAUGUCUUGUGCUCCUUUUUUUGGGCUGGAUGGAGCGGAGAGUGAAGAGAAUGAAUCCGUCUUUAAAGUGGCAGAUGCAGAGAGGUGGGCACGGUAGGAACCGUCCACGCUUUUAAAUUUCUUGGGGUCAUGACCAUCACCCUCGUCCGGAGAAUAUGCAUCCUUGGGCAGUCCAGAACUAUAAGCCGGUGCCGAAUCAGUGGCAGAUGCAGCAUAGGUAGCAAAAUCAUUUCGAAAAGCAUACUGUUUAGAUGAAUCAUUGUAGGGCACCGGCGCUAUUUU
rnacentral:lncRNA from 1 species